rnacentral:rRNA from 1 species
CAGAGGGUGCGAGCGUUGUCCGGAAUCGACUGGGCGUAAAGGGCGCGUAGGCGGCCUGAGUAAGUAGGGGGUGAAAUCCUGUGGCUCAACUGCAGGGCUGCCUCCUAGACUGUCGGGCUCGAGCACGGUAGAGGCAGAUGGAAUUCCCGGUGUAGCGGUGGAAUGCGUAGAGAUCGGGAAGAACAUCGGUGGCGAAGGCGGUCUGCUGGGCCGUUGCUGACGCUGAGGCGCGACAGCGUGGGGAGCAAACAGGAUUAGAUACCCUGGUAGUCCACGCCGUAAACGAUGGACACUAGGCGUCGGGGGGAGCGACCCUCUCGGUGCCGUCGCUAACGCAGUAAGUGUCCCGCCUGGGGAGUACGGCCGCAAGGCUG